GAAGGCGUUGAGGUUAAUAACCUCGUCAAUUGACGUUACCCGCAGAAGAAGCACCGGCUAACUCCGUGCCAGCAGCCGCGGUAAUACGGAGGGUGCAAGCGUUAAUCGGAAUUACUGGGCGUAAAGCGCACGCAGGCGGUCUGUCAAGUCGGAUGUGAAAUCCCCGGGCUCAACCUGGGAACUGCAUUCGAAACUGGCAGGCUAGAGUCUUGUAGAGGGGGGUAGAAUUCCAGGUGUAGCGGUGAAAUGCGUAGAGAUCUGGAGGAAUACCGGUGGCGAAGGCGGCCCCCUGGACAAAGACUGACGCUCAGGUGCGAA
rnacentral:rRNA from 1 species